rnacentral:rRNA from 1 species
UGGGGAAUAUUGGACAAUGGGGGCAACCCUGAUCCAGCAAUGCCGCGUGUGUGAAGAAGGUCUUCGGAUUGUAAAGCACUUUCGACGGGGACGAUGAUGACGGUACCCGUAGAAGAAGCCCCGGCUAACUUCGUGCCAGCAGCCGCGGUAAUACGAAGGGGGCUAGCGUUGCUCGGAAUGACUGGGCGUAAAGGGCGUGUAGGCGGUUUACACAGUCAGAUGUGAAA